rnacentral:rRNA from 1 species
AUUGAACGCUGGCGGCAGGCUUAACACAUGCAAGUCGAGCGGAGCGAGGGUGCUUGCACCUUAGCUUAGCGGCGGACGGGUGAGUAAUGCUUAGGAAUCUGCCUAUUAGUGGGGGACAACAUUCCGAAAGGAAUGCUAAUACCGCAUACGCCCUACGGGGGAAAGCAGGGGAUCUUCGGACCUUGCGCUAAUAGAUGAGCCUAAGUCGGAUUAGCGAGUUGGUGGGGUAAAUGCCUACCAAGGCGACGAUCUGUAGCGGGUCUGAGAGGAUGAUCCGCCACACUGGGACUGAGACACGGCCCAGACUCCUACGGGAGGCAGCAGUGGGGAAUAUUGGACAAUGGGCGGAAGCCUGAUCCAGCCAUGCCGCGUGUGUGAAGAGGGCCUUUUGGUUGUAAAGCACUUUAAGCGAGGAGGAGGCUACUUAGAUUAAUACUCUGGGAUAGUGGACGUUACUCGCAGAAUAAGCACCGGCUAACUCUGUGCCAGCCGCCGCCGUAA